rnacentral:lncRNA from 10 species
CACGACUGCACCAGCCUCUCCCCCAGGAAGGCGUGGAAACAACCUCCUUCUCCCAGGCCCGCUCUGCCUCCUGCGUUUCAAGGCAAAUCCGUUCCUCCAGGAGAUGAUGCAACCACAUCCUGUUGGAGCCCAGAGAAGUGCGGAUGCAGCCCGGGGCUCUUUCUUUCCUAGAACCCUGCCUGGGAGUGGCUUCCCUGAACUAAGGACAGAGACUUUGUCUUCGUUGCCUCUCGGCCUGUGGGCACUGAGCAUACAGUAGGUGCUCAGUAAAUGCUUGCAGGCCGAUGCCCAGAGCCAUUAGCCCUCAUCAUGGUGGACCCUGAAUCCGACACUAGCACCCGUGUGGAAGGAACGAGAGGGAGAUUUGGGGUCCGCAGAGGCAAACCACAGGAGGACGGAGUCGGAGACUGGAGCACCGCGGCCUUGAUCGGGGGA